CAAUUUCGUCUAAGGUCUUGCAAGGAGCAUAGCUGCAGCCUUGGAUUCUUGUUCUAUGGAGGUCUGUGCAACGUUUUUAAAAGAAGAGGAGAUGAAGAAGAAGGAUCUGAAGAGUCAAAUCGGCAAAGUCCAUAUAUUAAAUAUCACCAAUUACCACCAAUUACGAUCCAUUCAACUAAGUUCACUCUAAUUGUGGGACACGCUACAUAAUUUUCUGAUUUCUUAUUGCCAAAAUGUGGCAAAUGGACACCAUUUGUACUUACAAGUGACGACAAUACUUUGAGCCCAGUUGAAUGGGUACACCUAGACGAAGCCAAAUUCCUUGAAGCAGGAUGGAUUAAAAGGAAUUAAAUAGAGCCCAAAUUCUAACUCUUAAAUCUUUGCCAAAGCGGCCUCUGAAUUGGAUCUGCCAGCCAAUUGCAUGACGAUUCAAAUAAGUAAAAAGCGAAAGCGGAUGGAGUGUUUUUUUGCGGAGUUGAACGAAGUGCUGAAGCGAGAGCUGGUUUUAGUGAAUCGUCCAAUGCAGGUUACUCUGUUCAUCCCAGUUGGCUGUCUUGCCGGACAAAUUUUUCAGAAUAAGAGUUAAUUUGUAUCUAGAUAAAGAUAAGAAAGGUAGGAGGAUUAGGGAAGCUCAACCCAGUAAGAUCUUCUCUUAUAUUCUCCAAAAUUGAAAGUCAUCACUGUGUUCUUCAUUUCUCAGGAGAUCGGUGAGAUUUCUGCAGAAAUUGUAGAAUUUUGUUGCUGUUUUUCCCUUAUUUUCUUCGAUUGUGUGUAAUUGAGUUGAAUUUGAGAUUAUUCAAUAAUGGCGGAGAAAACGAAGAUGGAUUACACCCAUCCUUUAUUCUUACAACCUUCCGAUACUCCAGGAUUAGUGUUGAUUCCAAUCCAACUCACAGGUUCUGAGAAUUAUGGCUUGUGGAGUAGAUCCAUGCGGCUUGCACUUAAGGCAAAGUGCAAAUUAGGGUUCAUCAAUGGAACAUGCAUUAAAGCAUCAUUUGAAGCUAAUCUCCAUGAGAAAUGGGAGACAUGCAAUGCAAUAGUGCAUUCGUGGAUUAUGAACUCUGUCUCAAAGGAUUUAUUGAGUGGAAUCAUUUAUGCAUUAGAUGCACAUGCUGUGUGGGAGGAUCUAAAGGAACACUUUGAUAAGGUGGAUCGAGUGAGAAUGUUUCAAUUGCACAGAGGAAUUUCAUGACUGUCAUAAGAAUCUGACUCUGUAGCUGUAUACUUCACAAAACUGAAGGAGCUAUGGGCAGAGUAUGAUGUGUUGGUACCAUCCCCAAACUGUGGAUGUGUGAAGUCGAAGGAGUAUAUAGAGCACUUGCAUCAACAGAUAUUGAUGCAACUUUUGGAUGGCUUGAAUGAUACAUAUGAUCAAGCUAAAAGGCAGAUUUUAAUGAAAACAACUAAGCCUGCUCUCAAUCAGGCAUAUGCUAUGGUCAUACAAAAUGAAAGUCAACAAUCCUUAGGUGGUAUUGCGAUGGAAGAGAAGGUAGAUCCUAUGGCAAUGGAAGCAGGAAGGGGUCAAGGAUUUAGAGGGAAUAAACAAUUCCUGUAGUGUGAACACUGCCACAUGAAAGGUCACACUAAAGAAAACUGCUUCAAAAUUAUUAUAUAUCCUUAAGAUUUCAGAGUAAAGAAAGGGCAUCAAGAGAGAGAUUAUAGACCUAAAGAAGCUUUUACUGCAGUUAACAAUGUAGAAGGGCCAGCAAAAACAUCUAAUUCUCGGAGAACAUCACAACAGAAAGGAGGAGAUUUUUUCUUCACUGAGGCACAAUAUCAACGGAUUCUGCACUUGCUCAGCAAGGAUGCACACAAUGACAAUCAAACACAAGCCAAUAUGGCAGGUAAUAUUCUGUCUCUUGCAUCAAAUGUCUAUAAUGAUAGCUGGAUAGUGAAUUCUGGGGCCACACAUCACAUAACAUCCUCGCUAGGAUUGUUGAAUGAUGUUAAAAGUGUGGACAAUUGUAAAAGAGAGAAAUGAGACUGCCAAAUGGAGAUAGUACUGAUGUUACUCACAUUUGUAGCACACAAUUAUCACAGAUAACAAACUAGAAAAUGUAUUGUAUGUUCCCGACUUUAAGUUCAACCUAAUGUUUGUCUCAAAACUAACCAGGGUCAUACAAUGUGGUGCUCUUUUCCUGCCCAAACUGUGUGGCUUUCAGGACCUUUACAGUGGCAGGGUGAAGGGGAUUGGUAAGGAAACUGGUGGACUUUAUUUGCUGAGGGGAAGAGGAACAAGACAGUUAGCAGCUGCUCUUAUCAGCACAUUGCAGAAGAAUGAAGUUUCAGGAGACCUUUGGCACAGGAGAUUAGGACAUCCUUCAUUACCAGUGAUGAAACAUAUUUCUUUCUUGCAUAAUAAAGUAGACAAUGCAAUACAUAAUAAGUGCUCCAUUUUUCCCUUGGCUAAAUAAUGUAGAUUGUUUUUUCCUGUUAGUGAGCACCUAAGUACAAAACUAUUUCAACUUGUUUCCAUGGAUGUAUGGGGACCUUAUAAAGUUUCUACACAUGACAAUAAACAUUACUUCCUUACAGUGGUAGAUGAUUACAUUAGAGCAACUUGGAUUUUUCUAAUGUAGUUGAAAAGUGAAACCAUCAUUUUCUUGAAGCAGUUUUUCUGUAUGGUUAAGACAGUUCAACACAUGCAUUAAAGUGAUUAGAAUAGACAAUGGUAGAGAGUUUUUAAUCAUCAGUGGAGUGAGUUCCUACGGGGUCAUGGAGUAAUCUAUCAGAGUAGCUGUGUGCACACCCCACAACAAAAUGAGGUGGCUGAGAGAAAACACAGGCACAUCUUAGACACUGCCAGAGCACUGAAAUUCCAGGCUGGGAUACCAAGCAAAUUUUGGGGAGAAUGUGUUCAAACAACUGUUUAUCUUAUAAACAGACUCCCUACUAGAGUACUAGGAGGGAAAGGCCCUUUUGAAUUGUUGUAUGGCAGACCACCUUCAUUAGCACAUCUCAGAACCUUUGGAUGCCUAUGUUAUGCUACAAAUAUGGCUAAGGAAGACAAGUUUGGGCCAAGAGCUAAGGAAGCUGUCCUAAUGGGCUACUCCACUACUCAUAAGGGGUAUAGACUAUUUGACAGGACUACUAACUCUUUCUUUGUUAGCAGGGAUGUUUUGUUCAGGGAAUCUGUGUUUCCUUUUAUCACAGCACAUCAUCAACAAGUUUCAGAACCCAUUGCAGAUAUGUUUGAAUCCCAACACUAAGGAGAACUGCAUACCAUGUAGUCAACAGAUACCACUGAAUCUGAGGGGCAUGCAGAUACAGAUUCACCUGGCACAGCAGAUCAAGAUGCACAAGAUCAAGUAGCAUCUGAUUCAGAUACUUAUGAAGAUGUACCUGAUACUUAUGACCCAUUAGAAGUGCCAGCCCCAACAACUGAUCACACAGUUGCACCAGAUAUAGCUGCCCAGGCAAAUCCACCAGGCAGGGAUGCUCCAACAUUGCAGGAACAGAUUGCUUCAGCACCACAUCCCACUAUGCUCAACAGAUAAUUAACUAGAACCAAACACCCUCCAAUCUGGAUACAAGACUAUCUUGUUGCCACUAAACAAGACUCACAUUGUCUUUAUCCUAUUUCCAACUUCUUGUCCUAUGAUUGUGUCACAAAGAAGUAUAAAGACUACAUAAGGGCCUUCGCCAUAACCAAAGAACCACAAAACUUUAGAGAAGCAAUGUAGGAUGAUAGAUGGAUUCAGGCCAUGAAAUAAGAGAUUAAGGCAUUGGAGGGCAACAAGACAUGAGAAGUGGUGGAUUUGCCUCCUGGGAAAUCACCUAUAGGGUCAAAAUGGAUUUACAAGAUCAAGUACAAAGCCAAUGGAGAGGUGGAAAGAUUUAAUGCUCGCUUGCUUGCUAAGGGAUAUAAUCAACAAGAGGGCCUAGAUUAUUAUGAAACUUUUUCACUAGUGGCAAAGUUGGUGACAGUCUGGUUAGUAAUAGCAUUAGCUACUUCUAAAGACUGGGGCCUCUAUCAAAUGGAUGUAUUCAAUCUUACAAGGAGACCUAGACGAGGAAGUAUAUAUGGACUUGCCUCAAGGUUUUCAAAGACAGGUGAGAAAAAAGUUUGUAGGCUGUUAAAAUCCCUAUAUGGACUCAAACAGGCAUCAAUGCCAUGAAAUCUUAGACUUACAGAGGCCUUACUUAGUGCAAGCUUUAGCCAGAGUGUUUAUGACUACUCCUUAUUCACUAAGAAGUCUGGGAAUGAGAUUGUCAUUAUCUUAAUUUAUGUGGAUGAUUUACUAUUAACUGGAAGCAGUACAGAACUCAUUAAUAAAGCCAAGUCAAUACUGCAUCAGAAAUUUAAGGUGAACUGAGAUACUUUAUGGGGAUUGAAGUUUUGAGGUCCAAGCAAGUAAUUCUUCUUAAUCAGAGAAAAUAUACCCUAGGGCUCAUCUCAGAGAUGAGCUUAAGUGGAGCAAAACUUGUUGUUACACCCCUAGAACUCAAUCAGAAGCUUAGUUCGCUUGAGUAUGAUAAGGGGAUUGGAAGUAAAGUGUCUGAUCCUUUGAUAGAUGUCACAAGCUAUCAAAAGCUGAUUGGAAAAAUCUUAUACCUUACGGUCACCAGACCAGACAUCAGUUAUGCAGUACAGAUUUUGAGUCAAUUCAUGCAGACUCCCAAAAGAUCUCACAUGGAUGCAACAACUUGUGUAGUGAGAUACCUAAAAUAGGCACAAGGUAUGGGAGUGAUCAUAAAAAGAGGACCAGCUGAUGCCUUGAUUGGCUUCUAUGAUUCAGACUGGGUAGCAUGUCCAAUAAGCCGAAGGUCUGUCAGUGGUUACCUUAUUAAGUUUGGUGAUUCCUUAAUUUCUUGGAGGUCGAAGAAGCAACACACAGUUUCUCGAAGCAGUGCUGAAGCUGAAUACAGAAGUAUGACAUCUGCAGUAGCUGAGAUAGUGUGGUUGAGAGGGCUGUUUGCAGAACUAGGGACUCCAAUUCAUCAACCAGUUAUCCUAUUUUCAGACAGUAAAGCAACAAUCCAAAUAGCAGCUAAUCCCAUUUUUCAUGAGCGCACAAAACACAUUGAAAUAGAUUGUCACUUCAUCAGGGAGAAGCUCAAAUAAGGGAUCUUGCAAACACAAUACAUAUCUACAAGAAAUCAACAAGCAGACAUACUCACAAAAGGACUGGCCUCACCUCAGCAUCAAUUUCUACUUGGCAAGCUUGUUGUGUUAAACAUUUUACACCCUUCAGCUUAAGGGGGAGUGGUGUAUAUAGAAGUUAGUUAGUUAGUUAGAGAUAUGAGGCCUAAGUGUACAUAUUAUAAGUUGUGGUAUGUUAGAGUUAAUUUAGAUACUUAGUACCUAAUUGUUAGUUAUGGUUGUAUAUAGUCGGCUGUUAAUGCCCAGAUCAAUUAGUUGAGCUAUUUUUCCAAUUGUGAAUCUUUUGAUCUCUUCUUCUGCGCAUGAAUCUAACAAUCUCUAUGCCAUUGCUCAGGCAGAAUCACUGCGAUACAAGCUACUUGGAGGACUUGUUGUCCGAAGGUCUGUUGCUUGGUUGCACAUUGUUCCAUGCCUUAACUUUUCUUUGCUCUCUGACUUGAAAGGCAUCUUUACAGAGAGUUGGUAUCUGCUAGUACCUUUCUGGUGUCUGAGGGUGACGACAUUUGAUCCCAUCUGUUUAGGAAUCAGAGGAAUAUAUUUGUUUCUGAUUUCCAAUUUUGAUGAAUUUAAAUGUGGGGAAAUUUCUGUUGCCAUACAUACUUGUGAGGAAAGAAUUCUUUUUUGACAAAGAAGAUGUAAUUAAUAAAAAUUGUAUAGUCACAAAACAUCUUCCAAUAUUGUGGUCCAUUUGUUUGGUCUCUUGACAACAUGGUGUACAAUAUGCAUGCAUCUUCAUCUUGAAUAGAUGUAUACAUUUGUUUGGGCUCUAACAACAUGGUCUAUAAUAUACAUGCAUCUUCAUCUUGACCAUGGGUGAGAUGGUAUUUCAUUUUAUUUAAAGUUACACAGAUUUUAAGGUCACCAUGCAUCUUAGCUGUUGAAAGCAGAUUUUAUCAUGUAAAAUAUGGGUAAAUUAUAUUACUAUAUGUUAGUGAAAUAUUUUUGUUGCUAUGGUUUUUCCUCAACUUGAGGUAAUUUUCUCCAUGGAGUGUAAUUUCCAUGUCAUGAUCAAAUUCCCUAGAGGUUUCCAACCUUUUUGUAUAACUCUUUUUUGUUCUUCAACUUAUCUAUUAUCGUGAUGUACGACUUGCUAUGGUGUUUUAAGAUUUGUCACGUAGAGUGGAGCAAAGGGAUAUGAGGUUUGUUGGGAGUCAUUUUUCUUCUCUACAUCUCUCCAAGUAAAUGUUCUUUGAAGAGUUUAUGCAAGUUCUUUUUUUUUCUCUAGGUAAUUGUUAGUGGAAAGCUCCGUGCUCAGCGUGCCAAGUCCAUGAAGUUUAAGGGUGGAUGCAUGAUUUCUUCUGGGCAUACCGUUAAAGAGUACAUUGAUUCAGCUGUACUUAGGCAGGUGUGCUCGGUAUCAAAGUCAAGAUCAUGCUAAACUGUGAUCCUAAGGAUAAAAAAGGGUCUAUGACCGUUGCCAGAUCUGGUGACUAUUCAUCAACCCAAGGAGGAAUAAGAAUAUGCCGUUCCUAUGGUAGCUGCUCCUGUAAUUGAGGCUCUUGUGGCAUAAAAACCUCUGUUAUGUUGUCUUUGGUCUUGCAACAUGCGCUAGCUGGCGGGUACUUCUGGAAAUGAUUCUGAGUUAAAAAGAUAAAUUGGAUCUAAAUAGAAUAAUCUGGAGCUUUGAAGUCUGAGUAAAAGCCAAAGAAUUAAAUCGGGAUUGCGUCGGAGGCUCGAUGUUGCACACAAAAGUUGGAAGAAAGAGCAAGGGUUAUGACAUUUGUACUAAUGCUUCGCAUCAUGCGUAGCACAGUGCGACGCAUAAGUGCAAAUGUGCGUAAAAAAUUUGAGAAGUUCAGAGACUAAUAGUUUUUGGGUCUGACAGAAAAAUACACUAAUACUACGCAUAGUGCGUGGCAUAGUGCGUAGCAUCAGUACAAAAUUUUGUCAGAUAAGCUAAGUUCAGAGAGUUUACAACCGAGCAAAUUGCACUAAUACUACGCACCCUACGUAGCAUAGUGCGACGCAUGAAGUGUAAAAAGUUUGUAGGUUUUCCCAUUUCGGCUCAAAGAGGGUAGUUUCGUCCGGAUUCGUUCCUACUUGGUAUAAAUACACUAGAAACACGUUUUUAAUUGGACUUUUAAUCUUAGAAGCUUUGGGAGAGCAUUGGAGGCUACAAGGCACGGGAUUUCAUCAAUUCAAUACGGAGUUUGGAUUGUAACGUUAGAUUGAUGCUUUCUUAUUCUUUAACUCUUUUUGUAAUGACUUCCUCCAAAAUUAUGGAGUAGUUUACCUUAGGGUUUGACAUGAAUUGGUGACUUUGUUAUUGUUUAUGGAUUUGAGUACUGCUUAAUUGCUUGAAUUUAUCGGAAGAGUUUUAACUCUAGUUGUG